rnacentral:misc_RNA from 1 species
CAUCUCAAAAUACUUAGUACAUUUUCUUAGCCAAGUCCUAGGUUCUUUGCCAUUAAAAGUAAUCAAUUUAACUUUGGGUAAAAUCUUGGACAUACCUUCUGAUGUGUCACCUUCACUACCAUUCAAAUUCUGCUUUGGAGCUCCUCCAAGAAUGCCCUUUCCACCAAGAGAUCCCGUGGACUCUUCUUGAUUGUUUUCCUUGUUUUUCUUUUCCUUGUUUUUCUCAGCAGAAUUGUCUUUCCUCAUGGCCCUUAACUCUUACAUAACCAUAGCCAUUUGCUGCGACAAUUCCUCAUGCUUCUUCCUUGUUUCCUCUUGCAAAACCCUAACUUGAUCUUCCAAUUCAGUGAUCCUGGUUGAAUCUUGAGCAAUUGCUCCUGAUCAAGUCAUCCUUGCGACACCCAAGAAUCAGAAAUCCAGUAAUGCCCACCCCGGAAUUUGGCUCUGAUACCAAAUUGUAAAGUUAUAGCAGCUAUCUCUCGAAAUUAAGAGAGUUUAGAGAGGAAAGAGAG